GUGCCAGCCGCCGCGGUAAUACGGGGGGGGCAAGCGUUGUUCGGAAUUACUGGGCGUAAAGGGCUCGUAGGUGGCCAACUCAGUCGGACGUGAAAUCCCUCGGCUUAACCGGGGAACUGCGUCCGAUACUGGAUGGCUUGAGAUCGGGAGAGGGAUGCGGAAUUCCAGGUGUAGCGGUGAAAUGCGUAGAUAUCUGGAGGAACACCGGUGGCGAAGGCGGCAUCCUGGACCGACACUGACACUGAGGAGCGAAAGCCAGGGGAGCAAACGGGAUUAGAAACCCCGGUAGUCC
rnacentral:rRNA from 1 species